rnacentral:tRNA from 1 species
GCCCCCAUCGUCUAGAGGCCUAGGACGCCACCCUUUCAAGGUGGAGAUCGCCGGUUCGAAUCCGGCUGGGGGUA